GCUCGGGACACUUUGCAACCACUUCUGUCACCUCCUGAAGUACACCAAUUGUCCUGGGAAGAAGAGGAGAGUAGGGGCCAACGAGGGUCUUCAGUGCUAGGAAGCAGCUCUAUUCCCGUCUGACCCUGCCAUUUGGGAGGCCAGAUGGCGAGGACCUAGAGCUUUCCCUCCAGCUGCUCUGGCCUUGUGCAACAUCCAGGUUAUCUCAGCAGAAGCCAAAGAGCCGCAGAGAGCCUACCUGGAAGAAAGCAGGCAUUAAGAAUGCACCUGUUUCGCCAGCUCAGCACAGCAGCGUGACUGGAGAUAAAUAUAUUUGGUAAAUAGCAUAACAACUGCUGUUACCACGUAGGGACACAACUGUGCUUGAGAAACAUGAAUAAAUUACUUGGACUAUGAAAAUCAAGAGUCACAACUACAGAGAGACUGGUGGCUUGACAAUGGAUGGCAGCAGUGGAUGAGAUGAACUGAACAGCUCAUUUUGAGAGCAUGGGAUAAAGUUUUUUUCCUUCCUUGGAAGAUUUGAAGAAGUGGAACAACAGGAAGGCCAUGGUCUCUGUUCUCUGCCCAUAGUUACACAAGCUAUGCUGCCAGCAGGCGCCUGGGCUGAGGCAGAGUGAAGGGAUUAAAGGCCUCUGUCUCCAGAUCCAAAAAUAGCCAUUUGCACUCAAUGUGCAAUGGAUUUAGCAACGUUAUUUCUUCUGAACAUUCACUUUCCAUUUCAAGUCAGAUCCCGUGAUCUCAGUAGAACUUUGCUAUCUGUCUUUGAAUGGCAGAAUUCACACACAGAGUGAAAAGAAUUUCAACACGGACAGAUCGAUAGAGCUUUCACUUAAGACAGAAGUCAAUUCAAAAGUUGGUGGAUGGAUGUAUUAGUCUGUUUUCAUACUGCUAUAAAGAAAUACUUAAGACUGGGUAAUUUAUAAAUGAAAGAGGUUUAAUUGACUCACAGUUCCACAUGGCUGGGAAGGCCUCAGGAAACUUACAAUUAUGGUGGAAAGGGAAGCAGACACUUUCUUCACAAGGUGGCAGGAGAGAGAGUGUGUGAAGGAGGAACUGUCCAAUACUUAUAAAACCAUCAGAUCUCGUGAGAACUCACUCACUAUCACAGGAACAGCAUGGGGGAACCACCAUCAUGAUCCAAUCAUCUCCCUCCCUCAACACAUGGGGAUUACAGGUCCCUCCCUCAACACGCUGGAAUUACAAUUCAAGAUGAGAUUUGAGUGGGGACACAGAGCCAAACCAGAUCAGUGGAGACAGAAAGUUCCAGAAGCUCUUCAGUCUGUUCACUACCCACAGAAAGGCUGCACAGCCAUUCCCUUAUAUAUUCCAGCUCCCUCCCUGGAAGCCACUUUUUCAAGACUACUUCUCUUCUUUGGGACUGAUUUUAUUAUUUGCCAGGGACAUCUGCUCCAAACCCUCUGCUUAUUAUUUCUAAUGCAAAAGGUGAACUACUUUUCUAGAAUGUCCAUUAUCACUUGUUUCUUCGUUCUUUGUGAAAUUUUACCUCCUUCUCCUAGUGGUUUGAAAAUCAUCAGUUUACCUGACCUCUCUAUGCCCUGAUGUGACACAGCAAUGGGUCCAGCUCUCCUCAGGAACAGCUUCAUUUCUUCACACCUACUAGCUGUUGUGAGAUGUGAUGUGUAUUAUCUUUAACCCUCUAACUUACGGAGACAAUCUAGCAAAGAGGUUAAGAAAACAGGCCUUAGGAUCAGUUUGCCUGGGUUCAUAAUCCCAGUUUCUACCUUAGCUGGCUGUGUGGCUUUGAAUAAGUAACUUCAUUUUUCUGUGCCUCUAUUUCUUUAUUUGGAAAAUGGGGAUAAU
rnacentral:lncRNA from 1 species